GCUGGCGUAGCUCAAGGGUAGAGCAGCUGAUUUGUAAUCAGCAGGUUGCGGGUUCAAUUCCCAUCGCCAGCUCCG
rnacentral:tRNA from 1 species